GACGAACGCUGGCGGCGUGCUUAACACAUGCAAGUCGAGCGGUAAGGCCCUUUCGGGGGUACACGAGCGGCGAACGGGUGAGUAACACGUGGGUGACCUGCCCUCAGCUCUGGGAUAAGCCUGGGAAACUGGGUCUAAUACUGGAUAUGACUCCACGGUGCAUGUCGUGGGGUGGAAAGCCUUGUGCGGCUGAGGAUGGGCCCGCGGCCUAUCAGCUUGUUGGUGGGGUGANGGCCUACCAAGGCGACGACGGGUAGCCGGCCUGAGAGGGCGACCGGCCACACUGGGACUGAGACACGGCCCAGACUCCGUACGGGAGGCAGCAGUGGGGAAUCUUGCGC
rnacentral:rRNA from 1 species